rnacentral:lncRNA from 1 species
CCGAAGCGGUGUUUUCAGAAGGAGUUAACAACUGUCUUUUUUCUUUGUCUCAUGUUCAGCCACGCUUUUCGAAACCGGGAGAAGGUUCAUUGUAGGCACGUGUGGGUACAGGGGAAUGCGGUGGCAUCGCGACUCCGACGCAUGCUGCCGGGAUGAGGGAAUAUUGUGCGCAGGCAAAACAGACACAACGUUUGUGCAGGAAGACCGGUGAAUCUUUGGGAUGUGGCCGAAGGGACCAGAGGUGAACUUGUUUGAACAAACACGCGGCUUCGCUUUCGGCGGUCCUGCCGAAAAAAACGUGACCGCGGUUGCCUUCCUCCCCUCUGGGGCAAUACGCCCCACGCUCUUGAGCUAGUAAGUGAAAGUUGCUCGGGUCUGAUUGGCUGUCAAUUUCUCCGUUGUUCAAAUCAUUUCCCUUCCAAUCCCGUGCUCAAGUGUAGGGAAAUCCUUCCGGUGGAAAAGAGUUCGGAUGGUGCCAAUCAUGUCCUCGGUUUUGCGUUGUAGACCUGUCGCGGAUUUCCGUCACUUCAGCACAAACUUCCUGUCCAGUUCAGUACCCCUGUUGUUAUUUGGAGGGCUGUGAGUGUCUCUUCGGCGUUCCGUAAGGAUGAUAACUCGCGACGGGCGAUCAGACGGCGCGGAAGAGGGAAGCAAUUCUCUCCUCUUGCACGACUGUUGAGUGUCGCGAAUUGUGUACAUACUGUCUGAUCCAACGCGAGAGAGACGCUCCAGUCUUUAACCAUCGUUUCAUAAAGGCAGUCGAGGCCCAUAUCGUAGCUGGUUCUUCUGUUAUUGUGCGUCCGUGUACGGGAAUUUCGUAUCACAUCGCGACAGUGGUACUAUGCGGCCUUGAGUCUGUGUGUGGGCAUUGUGCCUUGCACACGCACGGUUUUUUUUUUCGACGUGCAUGUGUAGAGACAGUUGCUCUUCGAAGGGUGCCGAAAAGCCCCCGGUUUCUGGAUGAUGACCUCUUUUUGGAACUAGAGUCGAUGAGCAAAAAGCGCUUUGAUUACAAGUUUCUCUUGGCUGUCUGAAGAGACGAAGAGCGGUCUUCCGUGGCGUGCGUAUAUCACUCUCUUGUUUGCGCAUCAUUCGUCGCGGUAAUUCAUUCGUGCGAACUAGACGGAAGGCUGAUCCUAUUUCCACAGGAUGACCUCUUUUGGAACUAGAGUCGAUGAGCUCAAAACGCAUUGAUUACAAGUUUCUCUUGGCUGUCUGAAGGAAAAUCGAGAAGCCUCCUUCGUCGCUGAUUGUCUCCGUUCCAUCCUCUCUAGGUGUCUUCUUGCUCUUCACUAGUGUAACUCGAACGAGAGGCGACCGAAGAGACGCUCCAUUGUGCGACUUUGGCGCGGAGAUACUCAUGACAGUGACACGCGAUAGCAUGGAGGUCCAACGGAAAGCAACCGUAUUCCCUCGGGCACCACGUAUCGUAGAUUGUAGCUCCAACCGGUUGUCGCGCGUACAACACUUCGCUUUUCAGGAGCUCGACCGUAGUUUCACAUGAAUUGAGGCUGACGUCACUGCGUAGCGCGUUUUCUCCGUUUCGUGUUCCCAAGACUGGGGUAGCGGACCGUUCCACUCGGCGCCGUGUGCCAGGACCGGGAAGGGUGCACGGUCCUUCGACAAAGAGUCGCAGCGUUGGAGAAGUUUACUGUCGCUGCUGACACGCGUCACUUCUUUUCGGUAGACAGAUUAGGCCUAGGCAUUGUUGGACACCGCCAGCUGCUGCUCGCCGGCCGCCCCGCUAGCGUACAACUCAAAGUAGACAAACGCGGUUGCGUGACACUAGACAUCAGCGCUAGUUCCACUAACGACAAACCCGUCUUUCGACACUACUAUUUCUUCUUACCCUUGGCCGGGUUUGUGGCUGUGGGUCUAAAUCCGCCAGGAGGAAAGUAGAUCAGUGCGUGGUUGUCAGUGAAAAGAACACACGCGGCAAUCGUCCAGGCAAUCCGCAACCGAAGUAGACAACGCGGUGGGAAAGCGCUGGUCGCGGCCCGACGGUCGUCUUCAUUUAGCGGCUAACCUCAGCUGGGGACUCGUGUUCCCGGGCUGCCUUUGUCUCGCGGGACCUAAAGCAGCGUGUGUCGCGGACACGCGUGGAGCGGGGAUUGGUCAGGGUUGGCACCGCAGUCGAGCUUCCGUCGACAAUACUUUCUUUCUCAUGGGCAGUUCAAACUCAAAAUGCCGGGCGAGCCAACUUGCGCCUACACGUUUCCGGUCCCCCGCGGUCCUUACAGGUACCUGGUGGCUAGCACUGUGUGUAUCUGCAAAACGUAUAUCCUGCGCGACUUCAGCGGGGCGACCGUGUCUACUUGAGGUGGUAAACGCUUGGCACGCAGAUAUGCAUUUCACAGUCUUGACAAAAGACGGGUGAUUACGGAAUUCCUUUUGUGGCCCGGCGUUCGGCACAGAGGUCCGGUGAGGAGGUCAGCGACAGGUGAAUGCAACUGGCGUCGGGGCGACCGGUCAGUGAGGAGGGUUAUCGCGCGCACUGUACUGCUGCGUGUUCAGUUUUCCCGGAGAUACGAACCAACUGGUGUUGAAUGCGGACUGGGGCGCUUGCGGGAGCAGGCAAACCCUCGGAAACAAAGGGGGGCGUUGAGAAUGGUCACGCGUUUGUCGUGCUCGUCAGCGCCGUGGGGGUGUGUGCCCAUACUGGUUUCCCCAGGCAGGAAACCGGUUGUGGAAGAGUAUGCAGUACGGACAGGCCUUCCACCUCGCUCUGCCGCUUGCCUUUUUAAUAUUCUACACGUGUCUGUGGCGUACGGAGUCCUGGCAGAUACGUGGCUUGGCCGCUGACCAUCGCAGGAUGAUGCUCUUUAAAACCAAUGCGGUGAUCCAGCGGAACGUUCGUGUGCAGCGCUUCAGGAUCUCAAGCACACACACAUCAGUCCUAUCGGGGGCGUCGCUGGUUCGGCUGCCAUCCGUUAUGCGCGUGCUGCUUUUUUUCUCGGCACCAGUCUGUUGAGCCGUUGAUAUCUUAUCGGCCCGCCCCGUAGCCCGAUGUAGACGGUGUAAGCCACGUCUACAGUCUCCCCUCUUUCGUUGAUCCCAGAUCGACACUCCUUCACGUCCACUGUCGCCAGUUUGGGUCAUAUGAGGUCCUCUUGCAAGCAAGUGUUAAGUGAACCAUCCCGCAUUCGGAAAAGCUAAACGCUGGGAAUGCCUGUGACCAAACGUGUUGCAUGUGGUGUUGUGGGGGAACCCGUGACUAUGAAUCACUCGGCAUGGGACCAACGUAACACCACACCCCACGGGGUGAUCUGCCUCUCACUGGCUCUUCCGAAGCCGUCCGCAUUCCAUCAGUGGCUAAAUCCUGUAUUGAUGCCUUCAUAGACCGCCCCGGGCUGCCAGAGCAGGGCUGGGCUUCCACCACCACAUUGGCUUCAGCCAUUUCAUCGUAGAACGCGGCUUGAAGAGAGAACGACAGUAUCGCCACGUGUUGCGACGGUACCAGAAUCAUGGCUUAGUCGCUGUGAGGCGGUCUUCCUGUUCGCGCGGAGAUCAUCGUUCCUCCUUCCCCAGUUUUCACGGUGCUGUAGAUCGCGUGGUGCGGUAUCGUUUUUCGUGGUCAUGCCCCAGCCGCAACACUGAUCAGUUGUUGACUUGCGCCUCGCCGCGAAUUGCUGGAGCCCCGCCUGGUCACCGCAGCACAAGCUCCAACGUGGUUACGGAAGACGAGUCUGUCGUAUACGGGGACGUCAAUUCUUUUGUGUGCGCGCCUCUGGAUUUUCCCCUGUUACCUAGUUGUGCUGGGCUGGCAGAACGGCAAUCAGUAUCGAUCCGGUCGAGUUCUGUACGGCUCUUCGGUCGCCUGGCGCAAGAGUGGUAGUCUCUGCAUGGAAGAGAGAGGAGUACUAAGAGAGGGCGUCAGCACGUCACUCCGAGCAUGUUCUUCCACACACACAAAUUAUCUUGUGUCGCUAAAGGCUUGCCGUGGCGUGCAUUACGCUCAUCCCUUCGUGUGGAUUUGUUGCCUGACGAAACCGCAGUGGCCAACGGACGUCAGGAGCGUCACAUUCCAUAGUGUCUCUUCCGUCCUUUCUCGCAUCGGCAGGACGCAGCGGCUCAUAGUAAGGGCAACGGUGACAGGCGUUUUCCGCAGUAUAGAGUAGAGGACGAAGCUGCUCAGUUCACCGUUGACGGCCAAAAACCUCGUUACAAGGGAAAGUGCUGUACCCCCGCAGCUACGGAGUCUUCAUGUCAGCCGUCCGUGCCUCAAGUGUGUGCAGCCGCGUCACGGACCUCCAGAAGGACCGACAACACAGCACCGUC